GCCACUGCCUGGUGAGAACAGCCUGUGGGGUGACAACACUGCCACACAAAGUGAAAGGUAACUCUGGGUGGACACUGGGCCAGAGGCCAGUGAGUGACAGGAGGAAGCCACAAACAUCCCUUUCUACUCACCUGCAUGCACAUGUGUGCACACAGCCUCUUGCCUCAGACAGAAAAAGAGGAUUAAAGAUGUGAGGUGAGAUGAGCAUACUCCUGUCACCAGCUGUGAGAACACCCCUGAGCCAGACUGCCAGGUUGGAGCAGUAAUCCCAGAUGUACAAUAAAAAGCAUCAGUAUUGAUGAUGCCAAGACCACAGAAGCCGUUCAGAAUAGAGGUGGUGGGAGGGAAGAAGGGCACGGACACCACAGAAGGAGCUGAUGCUGCAGCAGACUUUUGCUAAGGAGGGAUCCUGUUUGCUGAGGAUCCUCAGGCUGAGGCAGUGGGGAAAAAUGGGGGAAGGAAGGGCCUGGCUUGAGAAGAUAAAAGAGCAUUAGCAUUAGCAUUUGGCUUGUAGAACACCUCCUCCUGUUCAAACUGAGCAAUGUUCCAAUGACCAGCCUUUCCUCCAGGGUGAUUUGCUCCCUUCCAGUAGUGCAGAGCUGUACUGUGCAGAAGGAAAAGAAGACCCCUAUCCCUGCCCUAGAGGUGUCUGCAGCAGGUGCUGAACCAUAACCAGCCUCUCUGAGAUUAUGGGCCACUUUGAUGAAUGACUUUACAACCCCAGCUACUGAAGGGCUGUGCCUCACGAGAGGGCACGGUAAGAGCCCCAGCAGCACAGAGCAAACACGAUCAUUUUCUGGGGAAGGAAGGAGGGACAGAGGUAAUGACAGCCCUGCUGCUCCAUUUUCUUGGCAUGAAAAUAUGAAUGGGCUACUCCAAAAAGCAUAAUGGCACCUUUGAAAAUUGAUACCCUUUUUCUCACAUGGAUAUUUUCCCUCUCUUAUCUCCUGAAACUGCUUCAUCUGGAUGAGCCCCUUGGACUGCCUGGGCAUGGUGCAGUGUGAAGAUUGUGGGGAGACACCAAAAAGUGAUGUUUGGGAUGCGCCACCUUUUUCCAUACUGCUGGCAGAAGGGACAGGGAAGCUUUUCCAAGGAGUCUGUACUGAUUCUGCAAGCUACUGGGCAUAGAUAAUCCUGAAGCUGACUGAGUUCCAUUUUGGCCACCACUGUGAAAACAGGUGAGUUUUUAAAAAAAUUUAAAGCUACUGAGGCCAAGCAGGCAUAUCCUGCUUAGAUGGCAUGGGUAUGAAUUAAAGUUUUGUUGGAAGUUUGCAGGUUGUGCCAGCCAAAAAGGUUCUGUUUACUUUAUAUCCAGCAGGCAAGAUUAUUUUCAUGUCAGUGUAGGAUCACUCAGCUUGGCAAGACUGCCCAGGAGGUGCCUAGUCCAGCAUCCUGCUCCAAACAGGGUCAGUCAGGAGGUCAAAUUAGAGCUUUAUGCAGUCAGGUAUUGAAAAAACCCAUGGAUACAGAGCAUUUUAACAAUACUGUCAUGAGGGCACCCUGGCUUGCAGGAAGUAGGAUGGAGGAUUUAUUACACCUGAGUGGCACAUUUUAGACACUGCACCUCAAAUACUGGUUGUAGUGACAGCAGCUGUGGUGUGAAAUCACAAUAAAUAAAAUUUGCAAACAAUCCUUUAAGCUGCAGGAGUGGAGGGCAUAGCAAACCAGCCAGAGAUGGCAAAGUGCAGAGUGAGGAGCUUGGGAAUCAGCAUUAGUAGGGAAGGACAAACAGGUUUGGGAACUGGGCAGGAUGCUGAGACUGUGGCUGGAAACCAAAGGAAGAAACACAAACACAGGCUGGAGAGAUGCACAAGGGAAAAGAAGUGCACAAACCCUCACUGGGCCAACAGCACAGAGGAACAUCCAGACUGACAGGCAAGGAGGUGGAGAAAUAUUAAGAGGGAACACUGGCAUUUUUCCAAGUUAUUUGAAAUUUUUACCAAAGAGCUGGAGGACACAUAAGGCUGAAAAGGAGAAUUAAGGAGUUGAUGUUGGAGGUGAGCGCAAAGAAACAGGCUGGGAAGUAACCAGGUUUGGGAACUAUGGCACCUCUCCCCUUUCUACACAUAGGACAGAAAGCCUGUGAAGGAGUAGAAGAACCAGGAGUUUCAGCAAUGCCUGUUGGCAUAUUCUUUCAUUUUGAGGUUCUACACAGGUUCUGACCUGUUUCUCUGCCUUGCUCCAGUGAUACCAUGAUGUGACAA